CCAGGUGUCAUUAUGGCAACAGACCAACAGAAUUUUAAGAGAAACCUCUUUUUAAAUUUGUAUAGACAAGGGGAAAAAAUAUAACACUAGUUUGUUUCUUCCUGCCAUUUAAGAGAGAGAAAAAAUUUCUGACAAUUGCAGCCUAUUUCCUGUUUGGAGGCCCCUGGCCUGCCUGUCUGUUACCCUCUCACACAGAUGACACCACCCUUAUGGCAGAAAGUGAAGAAGAACUA